rnacentral:rRNA from 1 species
CAGUCGCCACGGUAAUACGUAGGGUGCGAGCGUUGUCCGGAAUUAUUGGGCGUAAAGAGCUUGUAGGCGGUCUGUCGCGUCUGCUGUGAAAACCCGAGGCUCAACCUCGGGCCUGCAGUGGGUACGGGCAGACUAGAGUGCGGUAGGGGAGAACGGAACUCCUGGUGUAGCGGUGGAAUGCGCAGAUAUCGGGAAGAACACCGAUGGCGAAGGCAGUUCUCUGGGCCGUAACUGACGCUGUGAAGCGAAAGCGUGGGGAGCGAACAGGAUUAGAUACCCCCGUAGUCCCUGUCUCUUAUAC